rnacentral:rRNA from 1 species
UACGUAGGGCGCAAGCGUUGUCCGGAAUUAUUGGGCGUAAAGAGCUCGUAGGCGGUUUGUCGCGUCUGCUGUGAAAUCCCGAGGCUCAACCUCGGGUCUGCAGUGGGUACGGGCAGACUGGAGUGCGGUAGGGGAGAAUGGAAUUCCUGGUGUAGCGGUGGAAUGCGCAGAUAUCAGGAGGAACACCGGUGGCGAAGGCGGGUCUGUGGGCAGUAACUGACGCUGAGGAGCGAAAGCGUGGGGAGCGAACAGG